CAGGUUGUCACAGCUUCAUAAAGCCUUGGAGGACUGUGAAAGAGGAGAGGAUAGGGUGCAGUUACUGGAGGGUUUGAUCUUGAAGACAGGAACUCGCAUCAGCUCUCCCUGUAAAACGAACCAGAGCACUGAGAUCCGGUCUAAAGAGGUGGAAGAAAGGAGAAAAGAGUAGAAUAGCGAAGAUGGAAAGGCAGAGGAGACGGUGGAAAAAGGAAAAGCAAAAAAUAAGACGAAGAAGUAAGGCAAGGCCUCGCAGUCUCCUCAACCAGCCUCACUCCCAGUGUCAUCCUCUUAUGGUCUCCCAGUCUCCUCUGGAUGAAACUCUGGUAUAUGUUGAAGAACACAAAAUGACCAGCCUCCGACCGACUGCUGGUGAAUCCCAUCCUCGUCGCUGAAACCAUCUAAGAGCCUCAGAUACAGCUGCCCAGCCAGAUUUCCAGUCUCCUGCUCUGAGACCCUCCCAGUCUCCUGCUCAGCCGGAAUCCCAGCCUCUCAUCCUGCAUUGGCUCUCAUCAGCAACAGCACCAUCCUGUUUCUUCUACUCAACAUUCCACACACC